ACUCAAAUGAAUAGACGGGGACCCGCACAAGCAGCGGAGCGUGUGGUUUAAUUCGAUGCAACGCGAAGAACCUUACCAAGGUUUGACAUGGCACUGUAAGCGGCGGAAACGUCGCCCCCUUCGGGCAGUGUCACAGGUGCUGCAUGGCUGUCGUCAGCUCGUGUCGUGAGAUGUUGGGUUAAGUCCCGCAACGAGCGCAACCCUCGUGGCUAGUUGUACUUCUCUAGCCAGACCGCCUAUACAAGUAGGAGGAAGGUGGGGAUGAUGUCAAGUCAGCAUGGCCCUUACAUCUUGGGCUACACACACGCUACAAUGGUCGGUACAAUGGGCAGCUAAACCGCGAGGUCCAGCCAAUCCCCAAAGCCGACCCCAGUUCAGAUUGCAGGCUGCAACUCGCCUGCAUGAAGUCGGAGUUGCUAGUAAACGCGCGUCAGCAUAGUGCGUUGAAUAUGUUCCCGGGUCUUGUACACACCGCCCGU
rnacentral:rRNA from 1 species